AGUAAUAUCCUUAAUUAUAUAUUCAUAAUCUCCAUAAUUGUAUCACUAACAAUACCUUAUACAUUUUUAUGUCGUUUGAACUUUAUAAAGAUGGAGCCCAUUGUACAUAAUUCCCAAUGAUUCCCUUUUUUACUCAACAUUAGCUUUUGAGUCUAGCAGACAUCUGUGGUGGCCCACAACACCUCAGAGACAUAAACAACAGUGAGAGGAGUCAAGACAAAAUGCUCCAGCCUUGUACCUUCAGCUCUGAGCCGUAUUCGAUGUGAUUCCUCCGAGUGUUCCCGAUGGGAUUGAGCACAGAGGUUCAUAGUGGCCAAAAUCAACAGCUGAUUUGGAUACCAUCAAGACACCUGAAGCCUCAUCAUGAGCCAGAUGCUGAGGAAGAGAUUCCGGGAGGAUCCCGAGUACCCCCCAGUUGCAGCCAUGUCAAGACUGGCACUGAGGAGGACCCCAACUGUCACGAGCAACACCUGUCGAACACAGCCACCCACGUGAGGACAGAUCAAGAAGCUGUCACAGAUGGCAGAAGAAAACCUGAGGAAAGCAGAACAACCAGUCACAAUGAAUAAUUUAAUGGUAGCUGUGACAGCAGUUAUCACCACUGCUAUGCGGAUCCCGACGCCUGCGAGAAAUAGGACUUUGUCACUGUGACAAAGUUGCCCUUGCUUUUAUCCCUUUGCAAAUCAAAGAAGGGAGACAUGUUGGGAACAGGCCCGCAAAAAUCUGGCCAUAAACUGGCCCCAAAACUGGCCAUAAACAAAAUCUCUGCAGCAAUGUAACAUGUUCAUAAUGGCCCUAACGCCCACGCUGGAAGGUUGUGGGUUUACAGGAAUGAGGGCAAGGAACACCUGGACAGCCCAGGGCGGAAAGCCCCUUAAAGGCAUUCUUAAGCCACAAACAAUAGCAUGAGCGAUCUGUGCCUUAAGAGCAUGUUCCUGCUGCAGUUAACUAGCUCAACCUAUUCCUUUAAUUCAGCCCAUCCCUCCG